GCUAGAUGGUAAAGCAUCUGCCUGCAAUGCAGGAGACCCGGGUUCGAUCCCUGG
rnacentral:tRNA from 1 species